AAGCACUUGCCAUGGGCCCAUCUGGUCCUGCCUUCUCAGUGCCACGAGAAAGGCCAGGCUGUCUCUUCAGUGGUGAAAACUCCACUUUUCGGCAGUGUCUUUGACUAUCCGUUUGUGACACGUUAUCCCAGGUGAGGUGGAAGAGGGAGUCUAACCUAGAACCAAAAGCAACUCAGGCUGCAAUUUGAUCCACUUUCCUUACAAACAGAGCCAUGCAUUUGGCACUACUGUCCUCAUGCCCCUCAUCCCAGAAGAGGCAUCUACAUAUCCCAGAAAAGAAGAUCCUAUCGUGAGUAGAAGCUACACUGAACAUAGGGUCACCCAUGUGCUUCCCAGAAAGGAGCUCGUGUCUGAAGGGUAUAUUUCCUUCUGUUAUGUUGAUGUUUUCUUCUUAAUUUAUAGGAUUUUUUAAUGUAAAAUUGCACUGAACUCUAUAAACAUAAAUGCUGCUUUUUGUAGCUCAUAUUAAAAAGGUUCCGUAUUUGUAGUAUACUGCAAUAAUAUUUUUUACAUCCAGCUCUUUAAGUGAUCCUUGUUCUGGUGGCUUUCUGUAAAUAUGUUUGCCCUAGUUGAAUUAAGAAACUUUAAAGGUUAUAAAAGAAAAAAAAAUAAAAUAUUUGUUUUCUGCUAGAUGCAAAAAUGACUAAGCAUGUAUAUUUUAUCAACCUCCUGUAUUUUUUGAAGUUAUGAACUAUAUAAAAAUGUUGACACUUUUUUUUGUUUUGUUUUGUUUGCUGGGACAGUGUUAAAUAAUUUGCAGUAGUUGGUUCAUCCUGCACUGGGACUCUCGGGUUGAUGAGCAGCAGGCGGCUGCUGCUGUCAGGAGGAUGCACAGUUGCAGUGGUCUCCCUGACGUGCUUUGUUAUACAGAGAAACCGUGGACUCCAUGGAGGAGGGGAGGAUUGGUUCAACAGCUUUAUUCUCUGGAAGCAGUGACACUCGGUGAUUGUCUGGGAAAAGGGGUCCUUUGGUUUCCCUGGGUACCUUGUUCCAGACAGUCUUAUUUGCCUUCCUAGUAUUUAGCCCCCUCUGACAAUUUUUUAAAUGUGCCUUGUGGGUUGGCUAGACACUAAAAUAGAAGUAGACCAGAGGAUACUAGAGUUGGGACAGUUCUCUCUUUGUUGGGAGGUGAGCACGUUUAUAGGUAGAGAGAUUUUUGGCUUCAAAGUUCUGUGCCGUCUGCCCAGCUCGAUUGCUAUUUCAGCAGUAGAGGUUCCUUUUUUUUUUUUUCUCCAGUGACACUGACCAGAAGUCUGUCCAUCCCUCUCCCCUUUGCCCUUCCCCCAGGCUCUCAGCCCUCCUUAACACUGACCCAAAGGUGCUUGUAAUGCAGGUCUCAUCUCCUUUGUUAGUGCUCUUCCUAUGACUAGAACUGGUUAAGCAGUCAACUGACUGUUAACCCUGCUUGCCUAGGCCAAGGUUCUCUGUUCCUGCCUUCUCAAAUUCCCAGCAGAGUGGGCUGUGUUAGGGAAGUGAGUGCUGGGCACUUGAGGCCCGUCCCUGCCUGAGCUUCUCCUACCUUCUGCUCAUUGUCCCCUUACAAGUAUCACUUUUAGGAUAACUAGCCCUGGAAAAACGGUAUCUGUUUGAAGUGAAGGGACUGGUUCUUCUUGCUUUCAGCCCGUGUAAAUAUUUAAAUAAAACAGUAUU
rnacentral:lncRNA from 1 species